UAUACAGAUAAAAAUAUCUUAUCUUAUAAAUCUCUAAUAUUAUAUCUUAAAUUAUUUGCAAUCUAUGAAAGAUAAAUGUUAAUGAUGUUUUAUAGUAUGUAAAAAAAAUAACAGUAGGUGGAAAUUCAUAGGCACUUUGUAAAUAUUUCUACGUAUAAUAAUUUUGUUAUAUAAGUAUAAAAACAAAUAUGUCACACCGUUUAUUAAUAUAAUGAAGCAACAGCAGAAGGUGAUAGCAGCAACUCUAAUUACAGAUAAAGCAUGUUUGUAUCUUAGAUCUCUAUCAAUUAUAACAUAAUCGAAGCGCAAACUAGCAAUUAAUUGUUAUUCUCGGUUAUACACACAUGUACAUUGAAUGGGGACGUGCAUCGUAAGCACGAAUGGAAUGACACGGAAAGGAAAAGAAAAUAAAUCUUGUCGAUCGAUGCGAUGUAAAUUAAAAAUUUAAUGUGAUUGUCCCUUGCCAUAAAUGAAUGGCUUAGCAGCGUAUAUGCCGGAGUUAAAAACUUGACUAGAAAAAAACGAACAUGCGAAGAAAUAAUAUAAUAUGUAUAAUGUAUGAUUUCACAAUUUUUCUUACUUCAAAGAUAUCGUUUCUUUUUCUUUCCUUAUUUAUAGUAAUCUCAUCGACUUGUUUUUAUUUUCAGUAUUAUUCACUGUGAGGAGAAUACUAAUAGUUGUAGGUAAUUCUCAUUAUUAAUGUAAGAAUUCGAUUUUAUUCAUUUACAUAAUAUUAUAUUAUUAGUUUUAUUUUCUAAUUAAAAAAAUUUAUUUUGGCAAAAAUUUAGUUAUUUCAAUAAUUUAACUCAUAAAUUCCAAUACAUAAGAACUACCUAUAUCUUUUAAUAUUCUUGAAUGAAACCUAACUCCUAUGCCGCAUAAGCCCUCCAAUUAUGCAUAACACUUCGUCGGUGACUUACAAAGCACAUUUGCGGACAUGCCACACACACAGAUAUAUUCCUAAUCGUUUUGUGUAUGAAAAAGUAAAAAAAUGAUUUUUCUCUCCGUGUUAUAAUUCACAGUAGUUUUAUAUAUCGUACAAAUAAAGUACGUGCUGUUUUUCGCGCAUUUUAAACUGAAUAAAAAGAUCAGUCUUUCUUUAGAAGAAAAAUUAGCGCAAGCGCAUUAUGUACGCACGCUUUAUAUCGUAUAUGACACGUAUGUUACAAAUAAAUUUACACACAUGCGUGCGUAAUAUUAUUAAUAAUUAUAAAUUGUAAGGUAGACCAAAUCAGAGUUUGAUCUUGUCAUCGAAGGAUAGAAUAACAACGCAUGUCUGCAAAAACGUUUGGAAGAAUCCAGUUCUUAAUUUAAACCAUAUAAGUUGUACCAUCUAUAUUUGAUCGCGUAAAAAAGAAUACAUGUAUAAACAACAUAAAAAUA